GACGAACGCUGGCGGCGUGCUUAACACAUGCAAGUCGAACGGGUCUGCCCUGUUUUUUGCGGGGUGGGUCAGUGGCGAACGGGUGAGUAACACGUGAAUAACCUGCCCCUCACUUCUGGAUAACCGCUUGAAAGGGUGGCUAAUACGGGGUGUUCUGGCUGUGCCGCAUGGUGUGGCUGGGAAAGAUUCACUUUUGUGGUGUUUUGGUGGGGGAUGGGCUCGCGGCCUAUCAGCUUGUUGGUGGGGUGAUGGCCUGCCAAGGCUUUGACGGGUAGCCGGCCUGAGAGGGUGGGCGGUCACACUGGGACUGAGAUACGGCCCAGACUCCUGCGGGAGGCAGCAGUGGGGGGUAUUGCACAAUGGGCGGAAGCCUGAUGCAGCGACGUCGCGUGAGGGAUGGAGGCCUUCGGGUUGUGAACCUCUUUCGCCGGUGAAGAAGGUCCUGCUCUUUGUGGUGGGGUUGACGGUAGCCGGGUUAUGAAGCGCCGGCUAACUACGUG
rnacentral:rRNA from 1 species